UACGAAGGGCGCGGGUGUUAUUCGUUUUGAUUGGGUGUAAAGGGUACGUAGGUGGCUUCAACGUUGGUUGGCUGAAAGAGCGGAGUGUUCCUACGCUGUAGCCCUGCAAACACGAAGCUUGAGUCGGGUAGAGGUCUGAUCAAUUUCUUAUGUAGGAGUAAAAUCCCCCAAUAUGAGAACGAAGGCCAGCUGGAGAAAUCGUCUUUCUAUGCCCCUCUGACGCUAAGGUACGGAAGCUUGGGGAGCAAACGGG
rnacentral:rRNA from 1 species